rnacentral:rRNA from 1 species
NNNNNNNNNNNNNNNNNNNNNNNNNNNNNNNUGGCAGUCAGAGGCGAUGAAGGACGUGCUAAUCUGCGAUAAGCGUCGGUAAGGUGAUAUGAACCGUUAUAACCGGCGAUUUCCGAAUGGGGAAACCCAGUGUGUUUCGACACACUAUCAUUAACUGAAUCCAUAGGUUAAUGAGGCGAACCGGGGGAACUGAAACAUCUAAGUACCCCGAGGAAAAGAAAUCAACCGAGAUUCCCCCAGUAGCGGCGAGCGAACGGGGAGCAGCCCAGAGCCUGAAUCAGUGUGUGUGUUAGUGGAAGCGUCUGGAAAGGCGCGCGAUACAGGGUGACAGCCCCGUACACAAAAAUGCACAUGCUGUGAGCUCGAUGAGUAGGGCGGGACACGUGGUAUCCUGUCUGAAUAUGGGGGGACCAUCCUCCAAGGCUAAAUACUCCUGACUGACCGAUAGUGAACCAGUACCGUGAGGGAAAGGCGAAAAGAACCCCGGCGAGGGGAGUGAAAAAGAACCUGAAACCGUGUACGUACAAGCAGUGGGAGCACGCUUAGGCGUGUGACUGCGUACCUUUUGUAUAAUGGGUCAGCGACUUAUAUUCUGUAGCAAGGUUAACCGAAUAGGGGAGCCGAAGGGAAACCGAGUCUUAACUGGGCGUUAAGUUGCAGGGUAUAGACCCGAAACCCGGUGAUCUAGCCAUGGGCAGGUUGAAGGUUGGGUAACACUAACUGGAGGACCGAACCGACUAAUGUUGAAAAAUUAGCGGAUGACUUGUGGCUGGGGGUGAAAGGCCAAUCAAACCGGGAGAUAGCUGGUUCUCCCCGAAAGCUAUUUAGGUAGCGCCUCGUGAAUUCAUCUCCGGGGGUAGAGCACUGUUUCGGCAAGGGGGUCAUCCCGACUUACCAACCCGAUGCAAACUGCGAAUACCGGAGAAUGUUAUCACGGGAGACACACGGCGGGUGCUAACGUCCGUCGUGAAGAGGGAAACAACCCAGACCGCCAGCUAAGGUCCCAAAGUCAUGGUUAAGUGGGAAACGAUGUGGGAAGGCCCAGACAGCCAGGAUGUUGGCUUAGAAGCAGCCAUCAUUUAAAGAAAGCGUAAUAGCUCACUGGUCGAGUCGGCCUGCGCGGAAGAUGUAACGGGGCUAAACCAUGCACCGAAGCUGCGGCAGCGACACUAUGUGUUGUUGGGUAGGGGAGCGUUCUGUAAGCCUGUGAAGGUGUGCUGUGAGGCAUGCUGGAGGUAUCAGAAGUGCGAAUGCUGACAUAAGUAACGAUAAAGCGGGUGAAAAGCCCGCUCGCCGGAAGACCAAGGGUUCCUGUCCAACGUUAAUCGGGGCAGGGUGAGUCGACCCCUAAGGCGAGGCCGAAAGGCGUAGUCGAUGGGAAACAGGUUAAUAUUCCUGUACUUGGUGUUACUGCGAAGGGGGGACGGAGAAGGCUAUGUUGGCCGGGCGACGGUUGUCCCGGUUUAAGCGUGUAGGCUGGUUUUCCAGGCAAAUCCGGAAAAUCAAGGCUGAGGCGUGAUGACGAGGCACUACGGUGCUGAAGCAACAAAUGCCCUGCUUCCAGGAAAAGCCUCUAAGCAUCAGGUAACAUCAAAUCGUACCCCAAACCGACACAGGUGGUCAGGUAGAGAAUACCAAGGCGCUUGAGAGAACUCGGGUGAAGGAACUAGGCAAAAUGGUGCCGUAACUUCGGGAGAAGGCACGCUGAUAUGUAGGUGAAGUCCCUCGCGGAUGGAGCUGAAAUCAGUCGAAGAUACCAGCUGGCUGCAACUGUUUAUUAAAAACACAGCACUGUGCAAACACGAAAGUGGACGUAUACGGUGUGACGCCUGCCCGGUGCCGGAAGGUUAAUUGAUGGGGUUAGCCGCAAGGCGAAGCUCUUGAUCGAAGCCCCGGUAAACGGCGGCCGUAACUAUAACGGUCCUAAGGUAGCGAAAUUCCUUGUCGGGUAAGUUCCGACCUGCACGAAUGGCGUAAUGAUGGCCAGGCUGUCUCCACCCGAGACUCAGUGAAAUUGAACUCGCUGUGAAGAUGCAGUGUACCCGCGGCAAGACGGAAAGACCCCGUGAACCUUUACUAUAGCUUGACACUGAACAUUGAGCCUUGAUGUGUAGGAUAGGUGGGAGGCUUUGAAGUGUGGACGCCAGUCUGCAUGGAGCCGACCUUGAAAUACCACCCUUUAAUGUUUGAUGUUCUAACGUUGACCCGUAAUCCGGGUUGCGGACAGUGUCUGGUGGGUAGUUUGACUGGGGCGGUCUCCUCCUAAAGAGUAACGGAGGAGCACGAAGGUUGGCUAAUCCUGGUCGGACAUCAGGAGGUUAGUGCAAUGGCAUAAGCCAGCUUGACUGCGAGCGUGACGGCGCGAGCAGGUGCGAAAGCAGGUCAUAGUGAUCCGGUGGUUCUGAAUGGAAGGGCCAUCGCUCAACGGAUAAAAGGUACUCCGGGGAUAACAGGCUGAUACCGCCCAAGAGUUCAUAUCGACGGCGGUGUUUGGCACCUCGAUGUCGGCUCAUCACAUCCUGGGGCUGAAGUAGGUCCCAAGGGUAUGGCUGUUCGCCAUUUAAAGUGGUACGCGAGCUGGGUUUAGAACGUCGUGAGACAGUUCGGUCCCUAUCUGCCGUGGGCGCUGGAGAACUGAGGGGGGCUGCUCCUAGUACGAGAGGACCGGAGUGGACGCAUCACUGGUGUUCGGGUUGUCAUGCCAAUGGCACUGCCCGGUAGCUAAAUGCGGAAGAGAUAAGUGCUGAAAGCAUCUAAGCACGAAACUUGCCCCGAGAUGAGUUCUCCCUGACUCCUUGAGAGUCCUGAAGGAACGUUGAAGACGACGACGUUGAUAGGCCGGGUGUGUAAGCGCAGCGAUGCGUUGAGCUAACCGGUACUAAUGAACCGUGAGGCUUAACCUU